CCUACGGGGGGCAGCAGUCGAGAAUCAUUCACAAUGGGCGAAAGCCUGAUGGUGCGACGCCGCGUGGAGGAUGAAGGCCCUCGGGUUGUAAACUCCUGUCAUCAGGGAGUAAAGCUUAGGUGUUAAUAGCGCCUCAAGCCUGAUAGUACCUGAAGAGGAAGGGGCGGCAAACUCCGUGCCAGCAGCCGCGGUAACACGGAGGCCCCGAGCGUUGUUCGGAUUUACUGGGCGUAAAGCGUGCGUAGGCGGUUGGGUAAGUCAGAUGUGAAAGCCCGGGGCU
rnacentral:rRNA from 1 species